rnacentral:rRNA from 1 species
UACGUAGGCAGCGAGCGUUGUUCGGAGUUACUGGGCGUAAAGGGUGUGUAGGCGGUUGUUUAAGUUUGGUGUGAAAUCUCCCGGCUCAACUGGGAGGGUGCGCCGAAUACUGAAUGACUUCGAGUGCGGGAGAGGAGAGUGGAAUUCCUGGUGUAGCGGUGAAAUGCGUAGAUAUCAGGAGGAACACCGGUGGUGUAGACGGCUCUCUGGACCGUAACUGACGCUGAGACGCGAAAGCGUGGGGAGCGAACAGG